AUGUUUGAGUGCCAAAUCAACACAAAUUUGUUUCUAUUUGUCUGUAACGCUCGUCUGAUGAAGAAGGACUGGACCAAAGCGCAGCGUGGUGUCAUCCAUCCUCCUCAUUUUCCCCUGGGGUUGAAUCAGUCCUAGACAGAAACCUCCGAGACACAGUAUUAAUGAUGAACUCCUGGGGGUUCACUGGUAAGCCACCUUUGCGUUGGGAUCCGUCCCAGUUGGUAUUCUGUGUCCACUCGUGGUGUCUCUCUUCGGUUACACAUCCUUGGAAUAGCAGAACAGCAUAACCGUCUGGAUGGCUCUUGCUGUGCCUGGUGGGCAGUUGGUCAAGUUCGGUUGUCAGAAGAGGAAUGGAAAUGUCAGGGUGAACCCGACGAACCCUCCACAUGUGUUGACCCUGCCUAUUGGAGGUGGAGUUCCAGAGCUCAUAGGUGUGCCUGGCAUGGAUUGUGACUCCAUCUCAUUCCUCGCCCUCUUCAAUGGGUCAUUCGCCGCCUGACUCUCCGCCAAUGCCGUCUGACUCUCUGUCAAUGACGUGUGACUCUCUGCCAAUACCGCCUGCCUCUUGACCAAUGCAUCGUCUAUCGCCCGUGUCUCUGUCCUCAGAUAAUGUUUCUCUUUCUGCUGGUCUGCCUUCAAUGACUGGGGGCUGUGCUUUGGCAAAGUGGGUGGGGUUAUAUCCUGCCUGUUUGGCCCUGUCCGGGGGUAUCAUCGGAUGGGACCACAGUGUCUCCUGACCCCUCCUGUCUCAGCCUCUAGUAUUUAUGCUGCAGUAGUUUAUGUGUUGGGGGGCUAGGGUCAGUCUGUUAUAUCUGGAGUACUUCUCCUGUCUUAUCCGGUGUCCUGUGUGAAUUUAAGUAUGCUCUCUCUAAUUCUCUCUUUCUCUCUCUUUCUCGCUAUCUCUCUCUCGGAGGACCUGAGCCCUAGGACCAUGCCUCAGGACUCCCUGGCAUGAUGACUCCUUGCUGUCCCCAGUCCACCUGGCCGUGCUGCUGCUCCAGUUUCAACUGUUCUGCCUGCGGCUAUGGAACCCUGACCUGUUCACCGGACGUGCUGUUUUCAACUCUCUAGAGACAGCAGUAGCGGUAGAGAUACUCUUAAUGAUUGCCUAUGAAAAGCCAACUGACAUUUACUCCUGAGGUGCUGACUUGUUGCACCCUCGACAACUACUAUUAUUAUUUGACCAUGCUGGUCAUUUAUGAACAUUUGAACAUCUUGGCCAUGUUCUGUUAUAAACUCCACCCGGCAGAGGCAGAAGAGGACUGGCCACCCCUCAUAGCCUGGUUCCUCACAAGGUUUCUUCCUAGUUUUUGGCCUUUCUAUGGAGUUUUUCCUAGCCACUGUGCUUCUACAUCUGCAUUGCUUGCUGUUUGGGGUUUUAGGCUGGGCUUAGGCUGGGCUUAGGCUGCACAACACUUUGAGAUAUCAGCUGAUGUAAGCUAUAUAAAUAAAUUUGAUUUGAUUUGAUUUGAAUCGGUCUUCAAAGUUUGAAUCUGAUCCAUGUGCACCUUCAUCAGAAGAGCAGAAUGGUACCGCUCUGAGCCCCCAUCAAUUACAGUGGCCUAUGAUAGAAACGGUAGAACAAUUAAGAAUUCAAAGUGACUCCAGCACACAAAUGCUGCGUACACAUUUUAAGAAUCUAGAAAUACUAACCGCUUUCUUGG